ensembl:lncRNA
AAUAUUAUUAUAAUAUAUAAUAAGUUAUAUAUUUAUAUAAUAUAUAAUAAAUAUAGUAUGUUAUGUAUCAUAUAUAGUAGUUAUUUAUUAGCUAUAUGCUAGUUAUUUCAGAUAGAAAUAACUAUGAUGAAAAAAAUAGGAUGAGGAUGUUAGUUUUGAUAGAGUGGUUUGAGAAGGCCUCUCUGAGGUGCAAAAAUUGAGCUGAGAAUUUACUCUUGAAACAGCCAUCUGUGAGAAGAGGAAUCCAGGUUGAGGGACAACAGAUAUAGGAGCAUUAAGGCUGGAACAAGCUUGAUGUUGUCAGGCAGCUGAAAGAAGGGCAAGUAGUUGGGGUGUCCUGGCAAGGGGCAGAGUGAGGAGAUGAGGCCCAAGGGGCAGGUUGGGCCCAGGCUGUGCGGGGUCUUAUAUACCUGGGGAAACAUUUGGAAUUUAUUCUAAAUGCACUGGGAAGCUUGGAGGCAGUUAAGCUGGGGAGUGACACAACCAGACUUAUGUUUUUAAAAGGUAAUUUUCAGAAAGGGUAAAAUAAUGACUCUCAUACAGACAUCAGAAUGAUCAGAUUUAAAGAAUUUAUUUAACUUGCUCAUUUCCCUCAUAAUGUUCAGAGGGUAAAUCAAAAAAGCACAAAUUUGAUGGGGCUGGCCCCGUGGCUGAGUGGUUAGGUUCGCGCGCUCCGCUGCAGGCAGCCCACUGUUUCGUUGGUUCGAAUCCUGGGCGCGGACAUGGCACUGCUCAUCAAACCACGCUGAGGCAGCGUCCCACAUGCCACAACUAGAAGGACCCACAACAAAGAAUAUACAACUAUGUACUGGGGGGCUUUGGAGAGAAAAAAUAAAAUCUUUAAAAAAAAAAAAAAGUUGUUUAAAAAAAAAAAAGCACAAAUUUGAUAUGGACUAAAGGAAUGAUGAGUUGAAUGUGUAAAUGGUUUUUCCAUGUGUAAACUGUUUUUUCCAUGGGGGGUGUAGGUGAGUGGGGAAGGGAACCUCUACCAGACACGACAGUUUGCAUGUCUAUCAGUUAUCUGAACUUUCAAAGUUGUAAAAAUAGUUCAAAGACAGUGAAAGAGUAGGAUCAGAUAACUGGGAAGGUGUGCUGUAUGCAGACAAUGCAUAGUUUUCCAUUGGAACACAAUUUCUUUUCUAUAACGCUUUUUUAAAAAAAAAACUUUAUUUUGAAGUACGGCUUCUCAGGAAGCUACAAGGAUAGUGCAGAGAGGUCCUGGGUACCCUUCAUCCAUUUCCUCCAAUGAGUACAUUUUAUGUAACUCUAGUUAUAUAAAUUGGAUCAUGCAAUAUAUGAUCUUCUGAGAUUUCCCACUUAAGUUUAAUGCCCUUGAGAUCCAUCCGUGUUGUCGUGUGUAUCAAUACAGUUGGCCCUAUAUUCAGGGGAUGGCUGAAACCCGCAGAUGCAGAGGGCCAACUGUAUUCAUUGUACUACACUGUUUUAUAUAAGGGACUUGAGCAUCCACGGAUGUUGCUAUCCAUGGGGGUUCCUGGAACCAACACCCCUCUAAUACUGAGGAACAACUCUAGUUUGUCCCUUUUUGUUGCUGAGCAGUAUUUCUUGGUAUGGAUGUCCCACAGUUUGUUUAGCCAUUCACCUAUUGUAGGACAUUAUGGUUGUUUUCAGUUUGGGGUUCUUGUUUAUAAAGCUGCUCUGAAAACUCAUGUGCAGGUUUUUGGGUGGAUGUAAGUUUUAUUUCUCUGAGAGUAAAUGUCCAGGAGUGAAUUGCUGGGUUAUUCUACAGUGUUUUAAAAGAUUCAUUCUGCUUUGUGGACGAUGGACUGUAGAGGAUCAGAUUGGAUGCAGGGAGACAAUUAUUUUCCAAACAGUGCCUGACUGACCCUUUUAAAAUAUAAUCAUGUCUCUCCACUGCCUUCCAUCAUCUUCCUCCUCCAUAGAGUAAAAUCCAGAGUUCAUAUAAUUGCCAACUUAAAGCCUCUUGUGAUCUACAGCAAUCCUUUGCCCUUUCUACCCCCUCCCACCCUCCUUCACUCCACUCCAGCCUCACUGGUCUUGAAUGGGCCCAAAAUAUCCUUCCUCAGGAUUCUUUCUCUCAAUAUUCCUUCUGCUUAAAAUGGUCUUUCCCCAGAUGUCUGCAUAACUCCCUGCCUUAUCUCCUUCUAGUAUUAGCUCUAAUUGUCUCUUUUUCAGUGUGAGAUGAAGAAGAGAAACUUCAACUACAUUGGAGUCAGGAGGGCCUGUAGAGGGAGCUCUCACAUCCUAUCAUGCAUCAUCAAUUACUCCAAACAGGAAGAAACAUAUGCUUACAUCUCCAACAGGAAAUUCAACUUCUCUACUACUGAAGGAAGAUUUCUCUCCCCUGCUGGGCAACAGCCCAGCCAAUGAGAAAUGCUUCAGCUCAGCCAAUGAGAAGCCAUUAUCACCCUAAACUGUUACUUUUCUCCAAUGGACUUCCCUUUGGAACAGCCCCUCGCUACUCCCCCUUUUGCUCCCCCCUCUUUGUUCUCCAGAUUUGCUUAUGCUUCACCAUGGCACGCACAUCCCGAAUUGCUACUCUUUAGUCUAUUCUCCAGUAAACUCAUUUUGAGAGUACAAUAACUAACUGGCAAAUUUGCUUUUCAAGUUGAUCAGUGAGGCCCUCACUAGUCACUCUGUUUACUAUUGCAACCUAGUCCCCUUCCUCCCUCCCCUCAACAUGCCCCCUAUCUCCUUUCGUAUGUAGCACCUAUUGCCAUCUGUCAUGCUACGUAUUGUACUUGUUUAUUGCUUGUUUCCCCUGACUAGAAUGCAGAUUCCUUGAGGGCAGGGGUUUUUGUCCAUUCUGUUUCCUCCCGAGUCCUCAGCAUCUAGAAUAGUGCCUAGCACAGAGUAAAGGCUCAGUAAACAUUUGUUAAACGUAUGAAUGACUUUAGGAGGCUCUGGCAGUAGUUCAGGUGAGAGCUAGGACUGUUUGGACGAGUGUAGCAGUAGUGACAGUGGAAGAAAGUAGACAUAUGCAGAACAUAUUCAAGAGGUAGUCCAUUCCAUUUUACACAGCUCUGAACAGCAGAACGUUUUCCUUGCUUUGAACCCAAAUUUGCUUUUUUGCUCCUUCCAACUUUUGGCCCUUGGGGCUAUUCAGAGGAAAUGUAAUCACCUCCCAGCCUCUCUUUAGAAUGAAAUCUACAGCAGUUUUUUCUUUCCUUUCUAUGAUGGUUUCUAGGACCUUUUUGCAGUGGGUACAUCCUUUUAAAGAGUAGAAAAGGACAGUCAUCUUUGAUCUAAUUACUAUUUUUCUCACUAAUAGGGUUCUGUAUUCAUUAGGACUCUUGGUAGCAAGUGACAGAAACCCAGCAUAAAUGGAUUAACCAUAAAGAUGCUUGUGGCUCACACGACCCUGAAGACUAGAGGUUCUUCAAACUUCUGGGUCUUUCCCCCCAUCACUCCAGACAGUGUCAAAGGAAAGAUGGCCUCCAACAGACACGAAGUGUCAUCUUCCCAGCUUAAAAUCCACAACAGAAAGACAGCUGUCACGUGGCAUCCUUGGACCAGUCUUUAUUGCUUGGGAGAGAGAGUUCUGUUACAGAUUAGGCCUGGGUCACAGGGCUGCCCACUGGAACCACACAUGGGGGAGGGGAUGCUGGGCAGAAAAAAGCAACUGCUCUCUACUGCAUCUUUGAGCGUAAACUAAUAGCUCCUCUUUCACCCUUUAAUAAAAGCCAUUUCUGCGGGGUAAAAAUGUUCCCUAAAUCAAAGAAGAAGCCGUCUUUGGAAUUGUAAGUGAAAAAUGAAAUGACAAAGGAAGACAAUCUUGAAUGUCGAAAGCGAGAGUCAGAUGGUUUUAUGCUUUACUCUCUCUCUUUAGUUGGGCAAAUUUAGGAGGAUUGAUCUGGACUUGUUGUUUGUCCAUGGACAGAUAUACUGUACAAACAAUAACUUGACUUGCUCCCGAUACACUCUGCUCUGUAAAGCAAGUAAUGUAUAUUCUGUAAUAUGCAUGACAACAGCUGUUACUUAGAUUACUUUCCCUUUCCUGAAAGAGCUAGUGGUUUUGUUCUGUUUUUUCUCUGAGUGCGACUCCCAGAUUCCCAAGAAAGAUCAUCCACAUGUUCAGAAGGUAAGAACAGACCCAUGGGUGUGACUUCUGCCUUGGGGAGCCCCCAUCUUGAACCUGUGAGGCGUGUGUUUUCAGUCUGUUGCGACCAUCAUAGUUGUUUUGGAUUUCCAAGAACACGUAUGGUUUCAAGCAUAGAUUGUUUUUCUAUGGAGUAAAUUUAAAGAAAUCCUAUUUUUUUCUUAGGAACUUUUAAGCUAUUCCAUGUCCCAAGUGUCUCGUUUUUGCCAGCAGAAGGGUAGCAUGAGUGUUGCUCUGAACAAAAGUCUGAGUGGCACAAUGGAGAAUUACGAAGUUGUAGGCUGGGCUGAACUGUCCAUUAUCUGUGUGUCCAAGAAGUAGGGGAGCAUAGAAGUUAGGAGUAUGAGCACUGGAAACGGUAGCUUGGGGUUUAGGUUGGCUUUUCCACUUACCAGCUGUGUGUCCUUGCACCGGCUACUUGACCCUCAGUACCUUGGUUUCCCCGUUUGUAAAAUGAGGAUAAUAAUAGUGCCCACUUGGCGGCAUUGUUCUGAGGAUGAAAGGAAUUAAUACAUGGCACAUAAACAGAGCCUGGCACACAGAAAACACUCAAUACAGCUUAGCUCUUAUCAGCAUCUUCAUCAUCAUUAGAUACAAUCAAAUGAAGUCCUUUGUGUACCUCUUAAUUCCAACCAACAACUGCCCAUGAGAGGGAUCUUUGAGCAUAGACUCCUCUGCUGGCCUCUCUGUAAACCAUGUGAAGAGCACAGACCUUGGACCAGCAGCCCUGGACCCAAGUUUAGUUUCCACCACUCAUUGGCUCUGAGCUGUUGGGCAAGUUGUGUGACUCUGGGCAGAUUAGGCAUGCCUCUGAGUUCCAUUUUCCUCAUUUGUGAAACCAAGAUAAUCGGGCUGAACUCAUCCCUGUGCUGGGUGGGCAGAUCAAAGAGACCACGUCUGCCAGCUGCCCCAGGUCUGAGGAUCAGCAUCCGUGGGCAGCCGCCUGCUCAGAUGCACUCCAUUCUCCUUCCUCCCCACUGUUAACGUUUCAGUAAAUGGAAGGCACCCUACAAUGCACUGUGACUUGUUUUUAACAGUCCCCUGUUUUGUCUCGGUCUCACUCUCAAGUUUUUGCUAUUCUGGAUUUCAGAAAAUAGUUCAGUUGCCAAAAUUGGUUGAAUGAGCUACUUUCAGAAUUAGUCAAGUGAUACAAAGUACUGCUUUGCAGAGUGGUUUUAGCAAUUCCUCUUCACAGAACCAUCCUAUCAGAGAGUGUCUUGACAAAAGGAGAGGGUUUAUAAAAUUCACAUUAUGAGAACUCCUCUUACCAUCCACACCCACGAAAAUCCCUGUCAUAUAAAUCUCUUCCCUUCCUAAACCAGAGCAUCAGGAUAAAUCAAGACAUGAAUCGUCAUCAAAUAAUCUUACAUGGAGGUAUCCAAAGAAAGAAAAUUUUAAUUAUUAUCAUUACCCCCUUCAACAGUGAGGUCCCAUCUUUGGCUACUGGUUUGGUCCUAUCUGGAUGGCCUGAAGUUUAACCUUGGCUACUUAAACUCAGUUCAGUAGCUCAUGUUUAUGGAUAAAUGAGCAAAAGAGUAAGGAUCAAAAGCAAAAAAUAAAAUUACUCUGGAAUUAAAUAUUUUAGAAGCCAGAGCCGAGUGAAUGUUAGUGAAGUGUGGCAUUCAGCAGGGAAGGCCUGCACUUAUGUUAAUGCGCCUAACAAGGAAAUGAGAUUGACACAGCAAUUCUCUGUUUUUGUUGUCCCCUGAGGUUAGAGAUUAUGCAGUGCAUGUUUCUGUUUUUAGCUUCUUUGGUAAUUCCUAUGGUGAGAGACUACACUCUGCAUAUUUGUCAAGGUUGCACUCCCAUUAAGUGCUGGGUCUUUGAGGUAGCACGGGAAACACUGUUCUCAUCUGAGCCUCGAGCUCUGCCCAUCCUCACCCUGCGCUGUCCCCUGGUGCCGAGGGCCCCCUUCCCAUGGCUGAUUUCUUUAUUUAUGUUCAGUUGCCAGGGAAUACCACAGAGGAAACAUAAGUCUAUCUCAACAACAGUUGUUGCUGUGCGAAAUGUUGAAAUGGGUGGCCGGAUGACAAAAUGUUUACAUUCUUUAUUUGAUGUCUCAUUGUAAUCCUGAGGCCUUUUGACACCACUUGGAGGUAAACUAAGAAAAGGAAACUGAAAGAUCAGCACAGAUUUGAAUGAAGAAUAAACUAGUUAGCUUCUUUUAUGACAAAGAAACAUGGGUUUGGAUCCACUGCCUCUUUGAUAAUAGUUAUUGUAGCUGAAUCCUUGGGUAGACAUGUUAUCAGUAAACCCAAUUCAGACCAGCUGAAAGAGCCAAGGGCUGGAUCGACUGGUGUGGCUGUGAAGGUCACAGGGGGAACAGAUACGCUACAGCAAUCAAGGCUGUAGCAACUGGAAUCAAGGAUUUGGUGCUGGCAGGACUCCUUCCUUCCCCAUCCAGUCCUCAUCCUUGCUUGUCUCGGUUUCUUUUUGCAAGUCCUCCUCAUUCUCUCUUACUGAAGAUCCACCCUGUCCACAUGUCAGAGCAUACAGCCACUCUCAGCCUCAGCUUAGUACCCAGGCAAAGAGAACUUCUUUUGUCCAGUACAUAUAUAUAAAUCCCAGGCAAGAAAACUGAUUCACUCUACUUUGGGAUAUAUGCCCACCCCUUGGACCAAUCAACCUCUGUUUCCAAAGGAUGGAUAUUAUGAUUGGUUGACCUGGGUCUGAUGCUUACCACUGUAAGCAGGGGCAGAGAGUGUCUUCCCAGGAGAAGAGGGAUGAGAUAGCUGUCACUGGAGUACAGGACAGUCCAUCCCUUGGCUGCCUGACACAUAUAUCAUACAAUCACAAGAAUGCCUUCGUUUAUCAUAACUAUCCCGUGUUCAGCCAAAAUAUACUCACAUAUUCCCUUUGAGAGAAGCAACCUAAUGUCACAUCCAGUUAUUACAUCUAGAUCCAAGGGUAGCAUUUCUGUGCAAUGUCUUUUCCUCUAGGUCAAGUUCAAACAUGGCCCUUUACAGUCUGGCAACCUAUGACUAACCCCCUCCAAAAUACCCAGUAUAUAAUAAUGGAAGUAAAAGGAUAAAUGCAGUAGAAACUCCCAGUUAGAAAAAGGGAAAGAUGGAAAGCAAAAUGCAGCAAUCACACGUCCUUAGCCUUUUCUGUGUCUUGCUAGACAAAGGUCGCAAGAAGUCCUUUCCCUAGCAGUAAAGCCCCUCCAAAAAUCCAGUCACUUGAUUUGAAGUGGUUUUAUUGACAGGCUUAUAAUUAAAUGAUAGAACAGGUAUGGCACAUUUAAUUGAGGUGUGGAAGACAUAUUCCUAUCCUAACGUCUAUGCCAUCCUCAAGCUAGUCUGUUUAUCGGUUGGAUGAUGCUCUGGUCAUAUAUUCCAGAACCCAAACUGGGAUUUGUUGACCAGUGAUUGAGGAACUACUUCCAGGCAUGUCCAGGAGUAUGUAGAUUAGAUGACAAAAUGUUAGCUUUUCAGGGACUUUCUUUGUCAUGUGAAUCAUUUGUAUUGGAAACCUUUCUACAAUAUAAUACAUACUUCGCUGUCUCAGAAAAAUACAUGUAAUCCAUGUUUAUUGUGGAAAAGGAAAAAAUACGGAUAAACAACAACAAAAAUAUUAGCCAUAAUAACACUAUCCAGAGAUAAUGACUGUAAACACCUGACUUACGUUCUUCUGGUUGCUCCUUUUUAGUAUGUGCUGUAUGUUUGUAUGUUUAGUAAAAAUGAGAUCAUGUCAUACAGCUUGUCUAAAGCCUGCUUUUCUCCUCCUGCCUUCCUAAAAGAUGGUAGGCUGACUCAGGAGAGGGAAGAGAAUUGGCCUUUUUGAGUGCCUGGGCUGUAUGCACAUUAUUUCAUUUAAUCAGGGAUACGAACCCAGGCACGUAGGAAUGAAUAGUGGUCCUAGCCCAGGAUUCAACAGCUGUGCGCUGCUUGAACCUUCCCCUUCUCCCCUUCCUCAUCCCUCCUGAAAGUUAGUUCCACUUGGGAGAAUCUCCCUUCCUCCAGCCUUCCCUUCUCUUUCAUCUCUCUGUGACAGAAACGCCUGAUGUUUUCUGUUAGCAGCUUUGUGGGAAGUUCUUCAGGGACACUUUAAUGAUUUGUGGGGCCAAUGGGAUACAACAUAUGAAAUCAUGACUGUCCUGGAAUCUCUAGUACCAAAGGUCCUCAUCAAACAUUCUCAUGGAAGUGCGUGGGUCCUGGCAGAUAGGGCAUACUUCAGUCUGGCGGCAGCAAUCCCUGGUUCUUUCCUCAAGACUGAAGUUUAGCACUUGGGUCAGGUGCAGUCCUUUUGUCUCUUGCUUUCUUCUCCCCUCAUGUUCCCCUUGGCCACUGUACCCCCAAACAUCUGACUGGACCAAAACUGAGUUCUGAGUAUGGUCCAGAAGCUGUAGACUCAGGUGAGUGUAUUACCUGACAUUGUGGAGAUGCAACUCUAUUCCAUCUUGUACUACCCUGUGUGUCUGUGUAGUCUGUUUAGAAUGACAGAAUUGCUGUUUUCUGCAUUUUUGCAAAAUGACCCCUCAGCCUAGUUUUGAAAAUCUCAGGGGGAAUAUUGAAGUUGAGUUGGUGGACGGGUAGGAACUCUGGAAGUUUAAGUCUUAAUCUUUUCGGAGACUUCAGGUCAAAUAUAUGCAGCACCUGUACUGCUGUUGCCCAGAGUGAUGCUUUUUAAAGAUAAGUCGGGUCAUGUCCUUUCUCUGCUCAGGUUGGCACUUGUUGACCCUCUCACUCAGGCCCAGCAGAGGCCCUUAUUAUCUGCCCCUCUUGUCCCACCUCUCCGAUCUCACUCUCCCACGAUCACCACACUCCAUCCACACCAGCCCUGCUGUUUCUAGGGCUCUUGAGGAGCAGCCCCAUUUCAGGGUUUUUCUGCUUGCUAUUCCCUCUGCCUGGAACUCUCUUCCCCCCACACCCAAAUGACUUGCUCCUUCAGGUUCUUUGAGUCUUUGACCAACUUCUUAAUGUGAGUGGCAUGUUCUGAGAGAGAGAUCAAAAUCUCACCUUCUCAGUGACACCUGCUCUGCCCACCCACCCACACACCCCCUCUUCUCCCUGCUUUCUCUCCAAAGACUUUCUCACUCAUACUCUUUCUGCUGGCUUCCUUCGCUUAUGGUCUGCUUCUCCUCGCUAGGAUGUAAACCCAGUGGGGACAGAGAGUUUUGUUCACUGCAGUGUCCCCAGCACCUAGAACAGUGCCUGGCUCAAUAAAUAUUCAUCAAAUGAAUGAAUUGAAGGCGAUUUCCUCAGAGACUAAAUGAUCAUCGUCUAGGACCCCUUCUUUUUAUAAAUACAGAUGUCCACUCAUUAAUGGAAUAGGUAUCUUUUUGUAAGUUGGCUAUAAAAUCAAAUCUAUUUACUUCUUGAUUUUCAUUAUGAAAUUAAAGAUGCAUUUAUUUCUAUGAAAAAAAAAAAAGUCUCCCAGAAGAUUAAACAAGGAUUAGGAAAACUUCCAAGCCUUUGACAUUCUGGGUAUCAUUGUCAUGCUGUGUUUGCUUCCUGUCUUGGCAUUCAUUCCUUGGUUCCUGCUCCUUUGUAACAUUUGCAACCCAUAGUGGCGAUUCUAAUGCUGUCUCUCUCUCUCCAACGGGGGGAUUUUUUUUAUGCCAGCAUCCCCUUACUCGCUACCCAUAAUGUUCUGAAUUUCCUUCUCUUUUCCUUCUCCUUAUGCGUAAUGUGUAAUAGUAUCAUCAAAAGGUUGCCAAGCACACCACCUUACAAAGGAAGUCACAACAGCAUCAAUUUAGAUUUCCUGUUCUUACCCUCACUUGCACUGAAGAGUCUCUUACCCUGAAAACACCUCGCCUAACAGAUAUUUCUUAGAGUCCUCAGUGGUGAGCCCCACAACUUCAAUGUCAGAUAUAGACACCAUUUGGUGUCUGCCAUGUUAUUUUUUGCAUGCUUUGGCUCUUCUUAGUUGAUCCCCAGUGCCAAAGACACCUCCUGGAAGACUCUCAUCAUCAUCAUCAGUGGUGGUAGUGUUCACUGGGAGCUGCUGCUUCCUGAUGCUCUCAAGGCUGCCGAUUCUCUGGGUGCCUAGGGAGUUCCCACCUUGAGAAGUGGAGGAGUGACCCAGGGCCAAGGGUAUUGCUGCAUUUGGCACUGAAAAGCACUGCUCAGGUUUUUCUUUUUGGUUGCUGUUUGUUUGUUUAUUGUCUGCUUGAAGCUUUGGAAUGACAGUUGAUCUGACUUCUACCAUUCCUGCUAAUGUUUGGAAAAUCUUAAGGUCAAGUUUUGAUCAGAACUCAAGCCCAAGAUUCCAUGAGCUUCUUGAUCCUGUAGGUGCACUUGCAAGGAUUUGAAUUACCCCAUUAGGGAGGAUUGGGAAUGGAAGCCUUGAGAAGUGGGCCCUGAUCCAAUAUGACUGGUGUCCUUAUAAAAAGGGGAAGUCUGAACACAGAGACGGACACACACAGGAAAGAGGACAUGAGGAGACACAAGGAGAAGACAGUCAUCUACAACCUAAGAAACUGAGAAAAUAAUCCACAUCUUGAUCCAAGGAUCACUACUUUUUUUGUGUAGGGGAACCUAUUACCCUAAUAAAGCAGGGCUGUUGCAAGUAUCCAUAGUAGUGUCAACACAUAAGUCAAGCUGUGUUCCAUUCCUUCAUUACUUUAUUUGACUGACUGAGCACAACUCCAUGUUGGGGACACGACAGUGAGCAAUACAAAUAUUGUUUCUGCCCACCUGGAGCUCAUCUGUGGUCUACUAAGGGAGACAGAUAUUAAACAGGUAAAUGGACAUUGAUUACAGGUGAGUUAAGAACAUUAAAGGAAAAGUCCAGGUUUUCUGAGACUGUAUGGGGAGGGGCCAGUGGGACAGCCUCCUAUCUUGUGGGAAAGGGGUCAGGGACAGCCUCCCUGAGGGACUAACAGAGAGAGAAGCGGAGAUCUGAAACAUGGGUAGGAGUUACCUAGGAGUAAAGAGAAGAAUGUUCCAGGCAGAGGAAAAAAAAUUUCUUAAGAUCAAGGUUUCAGGGAUCUAUAAAAUAUGUAAAAUGUUAAUUUAUCCAUAGCAAAAUGGCUGACUGCAGUAUGUUAACUUUACUUUAUCCAUGGGUUGUAGUAGCAUCCAAAAUAGCCCAUCUUAUUCCCAGUGAGUCAGGACACGUUUCUUUGCACCUGCUUCCUGCUCUGGUAAAACCUGUGUUAAAUGAAUAUUGAUGAGAAUGCCAGGACUCUUUGGUUGAGCAGUUUUUUGGGUCUAGUUUUGUUUAUUUAAAUCAUUUCUGGAGUCUAGUCUUUUGCUUAAGGCAUGGAAUUUCGUGGUCUUGGUAUAUUUUCAAAGUGGUUGUCAGCUUUGUGCUUUGGUAGGCUGGAUCAACUCAUGGAAAGCCCCUAAGUGUACAUAGUAGGGAAAUCUCUGGGUCGUGAGGUGCAGAUGGAGAAAAAAGACAUUGCAUAAGAAAGGUGCAGCAAAAAUUUCAGUAUGGAGACCUUGGACAUCAGGCCUGGAUGAUGUGGCUUCAUGAUAAUCACAGUUAAUGCCCUCUACAUGGCUAUAAACUGUUUCUGGGAACUGAUGUAACUUUUCUGGAAGGGGGUGGGUAGAACCAAGAAGCCAGGGACUGCCUUUUGUGUGGAGGCCUUUGGACCUGGUGUAUUUUUCACACAUCCUGGACCACAACCCUGAGGAACGUCAGGAAGAUACAUCCAGCAAUAGCCUUUGUCUCUGCAAUUCUCAUAUCCUUUUGGUAGUCCAAGAAGCAUGUGAGUAAAAAUAAUCUGCAUUGAUAGAUUCGUUUCCACCAUCUGCAAACCCACCCCUGCUUCUCCUGAAUCUAGGCUUAUGACCUGAAAUUUGGGUGUCAAAACAGCUUACACUUUUGGUGUUAUGAAUGUGACACCUUCAGUGUCCCUUUCUUAUGCCAGUUUUGACAAUGCUCUCAUAUUUUUCUAUAGAAUGGUAUUGACUUACACAUUGCAGAGGUUUAAAACUGCCUCAUGAACCAUGCAUAGGUAUCUCCUUCAUUCAUUCAAUCAGCAAGUAUUUAUUGAGCGUCAGGUGUUGUUUUAAGGACUUGAGGUGAACAAAACAAAUUUUCCUAUCCUAAUGAGCUCACAUUUAAUUCAGAGACAGGCAAUAAAUAAGUAUAUACAUAAAUACAGAAAUAUGUCAAUAAUGUACGCACCAAGAAGAAAAAAAAUGAAAGGGGAUAGUGUUGGGGGUGGGAGUAUACUGCUUUGUACAGGGCAGACAAGAAGACCGCUCUGAGGAGAUAACAUUUUAGCAGAGAUCUGAAAGACAUAAGGGAAGGAACCACGUGAUUUUGUGGGGGUUUUGCAUUUUACAGAGGGAAUAGCAAAUGCAAAGGAGCUGAGGAGCAGCAUGUUUGGCUUGUUCAAGGAAUAGCAAGGACAGUCGUAGUCGUGGAAUGGAGCAUCCAGAUGGUGGUAGGGUGGGAUGGUGGUGGAUGGGAAGGAAAAUGUGUUAGCACAUAGUAGACUGAGAGGUGCUCAGAGACCAGAACAAGUCGGGCAAGAUGUGGACUUGGGGUUUUUAACUCUGUGUGAGGGGCAGCCAUUGGAGGGUCUUGAGCACCAUCUGUGACAUGAUCCAACUUACGUUUCAUUCAAGAGAUCUUGGGAGUGGCAGAGACCUUAGUUGUUGGGCUGGGAGUGGGCUCCAGAUUUCACACCUCCCUUCAGCCAGGACGGCCUCACUUUGAUCUAUUUUACAUAUUUGUUUCUGGAUAGAUUUUUUUAAGAAAGUUUCUCAUUAUUUAAAAACUUCUGGAAAUUACUGUUUUAUGUUGCCUGUGAUAUUUAUAAAAACAAGUAGAAAGUGGAAAAAUUAAAGUGAUAGAAAUGAAUAUCUCAUAAAUUUUAUUCCGUUGGGACAAAGAUGGAAACUACUAUGAAGGCAGGGGGUGGUCAAUUUGAACCUCAGCUGGACCAUUUGCAUUUAAGCCAGUUGAAUUGUUCCUUUGUGUUAACUGCAAAGGAAAAGGGCAAAAUUAAAGCUGAGGAUUAUAUAGGGAAUUUAUAAUAUUUUUUAGUUGUGUGGGAAUAGAAGUCUGUUCAAAAUGGGUGGAUUGCUCACAUCCAUCUUUAGGAACGUAUGUAGUCAAGGUAGGGAUUGCCUACACAAUUUAAC